rnacentral:rRNA from 1 species
CUGGGCGUAAGCGUGCGCAGGCGGUUAUGUAAGACAGAUGUGAAAUCCCCGGGCUCAACCUGGGAACUGCAUUUGUGACUGCAUGGCUAGAGUACGGUAGAGGGGGAUGGAAUUCCNCGUGUAGCAGUGAAAUGCGUAUAUAUGCUGAGGAACACCGAUGGCGAANGCAAUCCCCUGGACCUGUACUGACGCUCAUGCACGAAAGCGUGGGGAGNAAACAGGAUUAGAUACCCUGGUAGUCCACGCCCUAAACGAUGUCAACUGGUUGUUGGGAAUUAUUUUUCUC